UUUGACCCGGUAAGAAGGUCUCAGGAGUUGUCGCAUGGCCAAUUAAGCAGCCAUUUCUGGCACAAAACAACACGAUGGCACUCUGUGUCUUGCACAAAUUGUGUGCAUUUGGUGUUUUCUGUAUAUUAACAAACUGCAAACUAUGUGAGUGUAAAAUGACUUUGUGUAGUUCACAGCUAAGGGUGGAGUGGAGUGUGGGGGGGGGAAUCAACAAACAAACAAUGUGCCGACUAGCUUCCAGAGCUAACUCAAACGCAUCCUGGCAACUUCUUCAACUGGCUGGCCUUAAAGGAAAACACUGAGGAUAUCGUACACAAACAAUAUCCAGAAUCAUCUGCUCGGCUUGACAUCUUUGACUGCUGGCUUAUGUACGAAAGAGGACACAUUGCUUGUGUGGAGAAACUGAGGGAGAGCAUCCACUGUCCAGAGCAGCCCAGCUCCGAAUCCACACAGAUGCUUCCUGCCUAUCCACCUGUCUGCUUGUCUGUCUUCUCUGGCCACUGAACAGAAUCGUCUGGGGAAUCACCCCUUCUGUUGGGGACGUGAAAGGUGAACCUAUGGAUGAUCAUUUGCAGCUAUAGUUGCCCCGAAAAUGUCUUGGACAAAUCAGCAGAAGAUUUUCUCCCUGGAGACAUAUUUUGCGACAAAAUCAUACCAGAGUGUACAGAUUCUGUUUCGAAAACGUUUCCAUUGUCCCAA